CACCACUCAAGCUCUGCUUGGUAUUGGGCGUCCGUCCUUUCGGGGGCGCGCCUCAAACACCUCGGCGAGGCCUCACCGGCUUCAGGCGUAGUAGAAUUCAUUCAAUCAACGUCUGGCGAAACCGGAGGGGACUUCUGCCGACUGAAACCUUUUAUUUUUCUA
rnacentral:misc_RNA from 1 species